rnacentral:tRNA from 1 species
GCCCCAUUGAGGGCUAAAAUACCGUAAAAGGGAAACCGGAGGUUCGAGUCCUCCCGGUGGCG